UCUUCUAUUACUCUCUCUUCUCACAACGUCUCUUCCUUCCUACCCAUUCGACAAUUCCUCCUCUGUCUCUUCGUUCUCAUCUAAACACAGACCUUCCCCUUUAACCUCUCACUAAUUCGUUUCUCUCAUAAGUUUCUAAUGGUGGAUUCAACUCAACCAAACCCUUCGCACAAUCUGGGUUUCAUCCUUAAUACUCUGUUUUAAGUUUCUAAUGGUAGAUUCAACUCAACCAAACCCUUCGCACAAUCUGGGUUUCAUCCUUAAUACUUUUUUUUUUUUUUUUUUUCAGACCAGAUUCUCUCCGCAAACGUUACUGAUUCUCUCCGCAAACGUUACUGCGAAGGAUUGAACCUAUAAAGUUUAGAAGUUGUCUACAAAUUCCAACAAUAGCAAAUUGAAAAGAGUUUAACAGGGAUGGUGAAGGCUCAGCGUGCUAGGAUAAUGCCUUUGAGAAGAGGAUUAAAAUAAAGGAGGAGCAUACUUGGGUCAAAACUAUCUGAUGGAAUUCCCUCAUGAUAGCUCUUGCAGUUGCUAUUGGCUUGCAAGAAUGAAUGGGAGGACUGCCUUUGUUAUUGCAGUGGUUCAUCUUGAAUUGGCUUGAGUUUUCACUUUUUAUUAUAGUUCAUGUAAAAUUAAAAUGUUUUAAUGUAUAAACUAUACUUUCAUAAGAUUUUCCCGUGCAUCGCACGGGUUAGCGACU